CAUUGGAUGGCUCAUCGGUAGAGCCGCAGGUUCGCCCUGCGUGUUGCGGGUUCGAAUCCCGCUCCAGACCC
rnacentral:tRNA from 1 species